rnacentral:rRNA from 1 species
UACGGAGGAUGCAAGCGUUAUCCGGAAUGAUUGGGCGUAAAGCGUCCGCAGGUGGCUGUGUAAGUCUGCUGUUAAAGAGUCUAGCUCAACUAGAUACAAGCAGUGGAAACUACACGGCUAGAGUACGUUCGGGGCAGAGGGAAUUCCUGGUGUAGCGGUGAAAUGCGUAGAGAUCGGCAGGAACACCCAGGGGGAAACCAGUCGACUGGGCGGCACCUGACGCUGAGGUGCGAGAGCGUGGGGAGCGAACCGG